AGGCUGCGCCUGUCCCGCCCCCACGGCCGAGGCUCCGCCCCCCGCCCCGCCCCCGCCGUGCCCGCGGGGCUGCAGCGACCAGGGCCGGUGCGAGCGGGGCCGGUGCCGCUGCUUCCCGGGCUUCAGCGGCCCCGACUGCGGCACCCCCGCCUGCGCCCCCGGCUGGGGGGGCGUCCACUGCGACAUCGAGGUGCCCGCAGUGACACCACGGUUGGCCACCCGCACCUCGACAUCCCUGCGUGUCACCUGGCCCCGGCCCUCCCCCCCCUCCCGACGGCUACCGGGUGACACUUGUUCCCCUGGAUGACCCCAUGGCCAUGACGACGCAUGAGC